AACGAACGCUGGCGGCAGGCCUAACACAUGCAAGUCGAGCGCCCUUUCGGGGGAGCGGCGGACGGGUGCGUAACGCGUGGGAAUAUGCCCUUCUCUACGGAAUAGCCUCGGGAAACUGAGAGUAAUACCGUAUACGCCCUGUGGGGGAAAGAUUUAUCGGGGAAGGAUUAGCCCGCGUUGGAUUAGGUAGUUGGUGGGGUAAUGGCCUACCAAGCCGACGAUCCAUAGCUGGUUUGAGAGGAUGAUCAGCCACACUGGGACUGAGACACGGCCCAGACUCCUACGGGAGGCAGCAGUGGGGAAUCUUAGACAAUGGGGGCAACCCUGAUCUAGCCAUGCCGCGUGAGUGAUGAAGGCCUUAGGGUUGUAAAGCUCUUUCAGCUGGGAAGAUAAUGACGGUACCAGCAGAAGAAGCCCCGGCUAACUCCGUG
rnacentral:rRNA from 1 species